rnacentral:tRNA from 1 species
GCCCGCGUGGCUCAAUCGGUAGAGCGUGAGACUCUUAAUCUCAAGGCUGCGAGUUCGAGCCUCGCCGUGGGCU